rnacentral:rRNA from 1 species
UGGGGAAUAUUGCACAAUGGGCGCAAGCCUGAUGCAGCGACGCCGCGUGAGGGAUGACGGCCUUCGGGUUGUAAACCUCUUUCAGCAGGGACGAAGCGCAAGUGACGGUACCUGCAGAAGAAGGACCGGCCAACUACGUGCCAGCAGCCGCGGUAAUACGUAGGGUCCGAGCGUUGUCCGGAAUUACUGGGCGUAAAGAGCUCGUAGGUGGUUUGUCGCGUUGUUCGUGAAAACUCACAGCUUAACUGUGGGCGUGCGGGCGAUACGGGCAGACUAGAGUACUGCAGGGGAGACUGGAAUUCCUGGUGUAGCGGUGGAAUGCGCAGAUAUCAGGAGGAACACCGGUGGCGAAGGCGGGUCUCUGGGCAGUAACUGACGCUGAGGAGCGAAAGCGUGGGGAGCGAACAGGAUUAGAUACCCUGGUAGUCCACGCCGUAAACGGUGGGUACUAGGUGUGGGUUUCCUUCCUUGGGAUCCGUGCCGUAGCUAACGCAUUAAGUACCCCGCCUGGGGAGUACGGCCGCAAGGCUAAAACUCAAAGGAAUUGAC